AGUGGGGAAUUUUGGACAAUGGGGGAAACCCUGAUCCAGCCAUCCCGCGUGUAUGAUGAAGGCCUUCGGGUUGUAAAGUACUUUUGGCAGAGAAGAAAAGGUACCUCCUAAUACGAGGUACUGCUGACGGUAUCUGCAGAAUAAGCACCGGCUAACUACGUGCCAGCAGCCGCGGUAAUACGUAGGGUGCAAGCGUUAAUCGGAAUUACUGGGCGUAAAGCGUGUGUAGGCGGUUCGGAAAGAAAGAUGUGAAAUCCCAGGGCUCAACCUUGGAACUGCAUUUUUAACUGCCGAGCUAGAGUAUGUCAGAGGGGGGUAGAAUUCCACGUGUAGCAGUGAAAUGCGUAGAUAUGUGGAGGAAUACCGAUGGCGAAGGCAGCCCCCUGGGAUAAUACUGACGCUCAGACACGAAAGCGUGGGGAGCAAACAGGAUUAGAUACCCUGGUAGUCCACGCCCUAAACGAUGUCAACUAGCUGUUGGGGCCGUUAGGCCUUAGUAGCGCAGCUAACGCGUGAAGUUGACCGCCUGGGGAGUACGGUCGCAAGAUUAAAACUCAAAGGAAUUGACGGGGACCCGCACAAGCGGUGGAUGAUGUGGAUUAAUUCGAUGCAACGCGAAAAACCUUACCUACCCUUGACAUGUCUGGAAAGCCGAAGAGAUUUGGCCGUGCUCGCAAGAGAACCGGAACACAGGUGCUGCAUGGCUGUCGUCAGCUCGUGUCGUGAGAUGUUGGGUUAAGUCCCGCAACGAGCGCAACCCUUGUCAUUAGUUGCUACGCAAGAGCACUCUAAUGAGACUGCCGGUGACAAACCGGAGGAAGGUGGGGAUGACGUCAAGUCCUCAUGGCCCUUAUGGGUAGGGCUUCACACGUCAUACAAUGGUCGGGACAGAGGGUCGCCAACCCGCGAGGGGGAGCCAAUCUCAGAAACCCGAUCGUAGUCCGGAUCGCAGUCUGCAACUCGACUGCGUGAAGUCGGAAUCGCUAGUAAUCGCGGAUCAGAAUGUCGCGGUGAAUACGUUCCCGGGUCUUGUACACACCGCCCGUCACACCAUGGGAGUGGGUUUCACCAGAAGUAGGUAGCCUAACCGUAAGGAGGGCGCUUACCACGGUGGGAUUCAUGACUGGGGUG
rnacentral:rRNA from 1 species